AUGGAAGGGCUACUACACUGGGAUUUUGCGCCAGGCUUGGCCCUGGCCGAUCAGGUGAGGCGCAGGUUUGGCUCCACGGUUCACUUUUCCCCCUCCUGGGACACCAAGGAGUUCUUUUUGGUGGUCUCGUUCUCGUCGGCAUCCUUCUAUCUUUCCACGGAUUCAGUUGGUAUUGCUCUCCAGUGUUGUAUUGGUGGCAUCAGCUCUGGUUUCAAGGUUGUUCAAUUGAGCUCUCGAUCAAUUUGGUUCUCCGUUGCAAACAAUAAAGUGGGUCACUUCAUCUAUGGUCUCAAGGACAGAAUUUGCCCUGAUUUUAUCGCCAUUUUCAUCUUUUCAAUGGGCGUUUCUCUCGGUUCUCUAAUGAUCACCAUUGGCAUGCUGAUGAAGAACUAA
rnacentral:rRNA from 1 species